AUUGAACGCUGGCGGCAGGCCUAACACAUGCAAGUCGAGCGGAUGAAGAGAGCUUGCUCCUGGAUUCAGCGGCGGACGGGUGAGUAAUGCCUAGGAAUCUGCCUGGUAGUGGGGGAUAACGUCCGGAAACGGGCGCUAAUACCGCAUACGUCCUGAGGGAGAAAGUGGGGGAUCUUCGGACCUCACGCUAUCAGAUGAGCCUAGGUCGGAUUAGCUAGUUGGUGGGGUAAAGGCCUACCAAGGCGACGAUCCGUAACUGGUCUGAGAGGAUGAUCAGUCACACUGGAACUGAGACACGGUCCAGACUCCUACGGGAGGCAGCAGUGGGGAAUAUUGGACAAUGGGCGAAAGCCUGAUCCAGCCAUGCCGCGUGUGUGAAGAAGGUCUUCGGAUUGUAAAGCACUUUAAGUUGGGAGGAGGGGCAGUAAGUUAAUACCUUGCUGUUUUGACGUUACCAACAGAAUAAGCACCGGCUAACUUCGUG
rnacentral:rRNA from 1 species